rnacentral:lncRNA from 1 species
GGGACAUUUAGUAAGAUCAAAGAAACCCUCCUUGAAACUACUGGAGCUUACACCACUGCCAGACAACCCUUGAUACUCUGCAGUAAGUAUCAUUUCUGGUUUAGGAGUGCUACAGUAAAGUGAAUUGCUGUGGAACGUAAAAGUUUUCUCAUCAGGACAGACUUCUGAAUUUUAAACGGACUGCAUGUUGAUUGAUGAGAACUGAAUCAAAGGAAAAAGAUAAAGCUUUGGAAACCUGGUUUCCUCAUUUUUCACAGAAAAUUUAAAGGAAUUACUUGAAGCAAAAGUCAGACUUCCUGCUCCAAACCUUUUUAUUAGGUUUUCAUGGAAAAGGACUAGAGGAAUCUGACUGAUCGUACAUACCGGAGUAUUGUACACAAACACAAAGCACCUUCAAAAUGGACUACUUUUUGGAUGUUGAAUCUGCUCACAGACUGUUUUACAGUCAAGGAGCCCAAGCUCGUCGGGCAACUCUUCUCACUGUGCCCACUCUGGUGACAGCAACUUCUGAG